rnacentral:rRNA from 1 species
GGCGUGUGCUCGCCACACACCCCAAAUCCUCCCCCACACGGCCACGCCUACUCAAGCACACAGACGAUCCAUACAUCCACAACCCCCACCAAACCAAUCCGACCAACCAAGAAACACCGCCGGCCGCAGCCACCAAGAACCAUCCAUGGCGACCCUGUUCUGCGCGGCCGCUGCCACCUCGUGCCGUCUCGCCUUCCCGCUUGCCGUGCCGGCGCCGGCGCCAGGCCUUGGCCGCGGCCGGGCCCGACGCGGCACGGUGGCGGUGCGUGCGGAGGCAGACACCGCCGCUGCUGGGACCGGGAUAAACCCGGCCAUCCGGAAGGAGGAGGCCAAGGUGGUCGACACCGUCCUGGCCGGGGAGCUCUCCAAGCCGCUCACCCCGUACUGCCGGUGCUGGAGAUCGGGAACAUUUCCACUGUGUGAUGGAAGCCAUGUGAAGCACAACAAAGCAACGGGUGAUAAUGUAGGGCCCUUGCUUGUUAAGAAGUAGAAUGAGUUAUUUUUCCUCAAUUUGUGUUGAGUGGAAUAAUGUGUAUAUCGUAGUUGGUAUAACGUUUUUCUCAAAUGUAAUAAUGAAGUUCCAUGCUGCAACAACCCUGUUGAUCAAAAGAGCAGAAUUAAGAGAGAAAUUGCCAUGCUACAAAGCAAAAUAAGUAUCAUUU